GGUGAGAUGGCCGAGCGGUCUAAGGCGCCAGACUAAGGCAAAUCCAUUGAGAUGCUGUCCAAUCUGGUCCGAAAGGGCGUGGGUUCGAAUCCCACUCUCAUCA